rnacentral:misc_RNA from 1 species
UUUCUCAUUGUCACUGUUUGUCAAUUGUUUAUCGUUAAUUUUCGGAAGCAUACUACAAGUUUCCUUGUAAUUGCACCGUGUAUGCGAUUUCGUUAAUGAUCCCUCCGCAGGUUCACCUACGGAGA